CGUACGCUGGCGGCACGCCUAACACAUGCAAGUCGAACGAAGUAGCAAUACUUAGUGGCAGACGGGUGAGUAACAUGUAGGUAUCUGCCCUUUGGCCUGGAAUAACACGAGGAAACUUGUGCUAAUACCGGAUAAGUCUUUACGGAGAAAGCUUUAUGCACCAUUGGAUGAGCCUGCACUUGAUUAGUUUGUUGGUGGGGUAAUGGCCUACCAAGACUGUGAUCAAUAGCUGAUUUGAGAGGAUGAUCAGCCACAUUGGGACUGAGACACGGCCCAAACUCCUACGGGAGGCAGCAGUGGGGAAUCUUGCACAAUGGAGGAAACUCUGAUGCAGCGAUGCCGCGUGAGUGAAGAAGGCCUUUGGGUUGUAAAGCUCUUUCGUCGGGGAAGAAAAUGACUGUACCCGAAUAAGAAGGUCCGGCUAACU
rnacentral:rRNA from 1 species